UACGUAGGGUGCGAGCGUUAAUCGGAAUUACUGGGCGUAAAGUGUGCGCAGGCGGCCGAGCAAGUCGAGUGUGAAAGCCCCCGAGCUUAACUUGGGAACUGCGCUCGAAACUACUUGGCUGGAGUGUGGCAGAGGAAGGUGGAAUUCCACGUGUAGCGGUGAAAUGCGUAGAGAUGUGGAGGAACACCGAUGGCGAAGGCAGCCUUCUGGGCCAACACUGACGCUCAUGCACGAAAGCGUGGGGAGCAAACAGG
rnacentral:rRNA from 1 species